rnacentral:rRNA from 1 species
GAUGAACGCUGGCGGCGUGCCUAAUACAUGCAAGUCGAGCGAACAGACGAGGAGCUUGCUCCUCUGACGUUAGCGGCGGACGGGUGAGUAACACGUGGAUAACCUACCUAUAAGACUGGGAUAACUUCGGGAAACCGGAGCUAAUACCGGAUAAUAUAUUGAACCGCAUGGUUCAAUAGUGAAAGACGGUUUUGCUGUCACUUAUAGAUGGAUCCGCGCCGCAUUAGCUAGUUGGUAAGUUAACGGCUUACCAAGGCAACGAUGCGUAGCCGACCUGAGAGGGUGGUCGGCCACACUGGAACUGAGACACGGUCCAGACUCCUACGGGAGGCAGCAGUAGGGAAUCUUCCGCAAUGGGCGAAAGCUUGACGGAGCAACGCCGCGUGAGUGAUGAAGGUCUUCGGAUCGUAAAACUCUGUUAUUAGGGAAGAACAAAUGUGUAAGUAACUAUGCACGUCUUGACGGUACCUAAUCAGAAAGCCACGGCUAACUACGUG